rnacentral:tRNA from 1 species
AGCCCCGUGGUGCAGCGGUCAAGCAUGGCAAGAGUAAAACCUGCUGACGCCGGUUCGAAUCCGGCCGGGGCUA